rnacentral:rRNA from 1 species
UACAGAGGUCUCAAGCGUUGUUCGGAUUCAUUGGGCGUAAAGGGUGUGUAGGUGGCGCCGUAAGUCGGGUGUGAAAUUUCGGAGCUUAACUCCGAAACUGCAUUCGAUACUGCGGUGCUUGAGGACUGGAGAGGAGACUGGAAUUCAUGGUGUAGCAGUGAAAUGCGUAGAGAUCAUGAGGAAGACCAGUGGCGAAGGCGGGUCGUCUGGACAGUUCCUGACACUGA